rnacentral:misc_RNA from 1 species
UAGAAGUAGAUGAAGUGUUUG